GGAGGAGUGCCAGAGAGGCCGAAUGGGACCGCCUUGAAAGCGGUUAGGCGUCGAGAGAUGCCUCGUGGGUUCGAAUCCUACCUCCUCCG
rnacentral:tRNA from 1 species